CUGUGUAGGAUAGACCUCUGAACAGUACGCAACGAACGCGAUCGUAAUCCCUUGUUGAGUGGCCAUCCUGUAAGCUGCUGGAUUUGAAACCCAGUGGUAUUAUCUCAGCCACAGAUUUUCUGGUUGUAAUGGGCCAGUUUUGAAACUCGGGGAACAUCUGUGACUUUCUUUCUUAACGCAGAGGAAGGUUAUGGCAAUAACAGGUCUGUGAUGCCCUUAGAUGUCUAGGGCUGCACACGUACUACAUUGAUCAACUCAGUAGGCGUCGUGUUUUCUCCAAUAACGUAUCUAGUGGACUUGGUGUCGGGUGCGUGGCCUCGGUCGUGUACUUUGAUUACUGUCACUUUAAACACUGGUCGUUAGACUCGUGCAAUCCAAUAGAAGAGGUGACUCAGUAUCCCAGUACCGUGUUAGUCUCCCGUGUUCGUAGUGGCCCCGCGCAUUGCCAGUCGUAGUGGGUCCUUUGUGCUUUUUUCAAAUCUUAGUGGGGACAGACAUCUGUUAACUUUUUGUCUCGGUCCCA
rnacentral:rRNA from 1 species